rnacentral:rRNA from 1 species
AUGCACGCUGGCGGCGUGCCUCAUCCCUGCCAGUCGAGCGAACAGACGAGGAGCUUGCUCCUCUGACGUUAGCGGCGGACGGGUGAGUAACACGUGGAUAACCUACCUAUAAGACUGGGAUAACUUCGGGAAACCGGAGCUAAUACCGGAUAAUAUAUUGAACCGCAUGGUUCAAUAGUGAAAGACGGUUUUGCUGUCACUUAUAGAUGGAUCCGCGCCGCAUUAGCUAGUUGGUAAGGUAACGGCUUACCAAGGCAACGAUGCGUGGCCGACCUGAGAGGGUGAUCGGCCACACUGGAACUGAGACACGGUCCAGACUCCUACGGGAGGCAGCAGUAGGGAAUCUUCCGCAAUGGGCGAAAGCCUGACGGAGCAACGCCGCGUGAGUGAUGAAGGUCUUCGGAUCGUAAAACUCUGUUAUUAGGGAAGAACAAAUGUGUAAGUAACUAUGCACGUCUUGACGGUACCUAAUCAGAAAGCCACGGCUAACUACGUG